rnacentral:rRNA from 1 species
UCUUAAAUGUAAAUUGAUUGUUUUCUACCAGAGUACUAUGAAUAUUAAAUUUAAAACUCAAAGAACUUGGCGGUGCUUUAGACUCCUCAGGGGAACCUGUUUCAUAAUCGACAGUCCACGCGAGAUCUUUCCUUUCCUUGCUAUCAGUUUGUAUACCGUCGUCGUCAGGCAACUUUUAAAAAUAUUAGAAGUUGGCGAUUAAGUUCAAUAAACUUUUACGUCAGAUCAAGGUGCAGCCUAUGGAAAGGUGAGAAUGGGUUACAAUUAGUAAUAAUAAUUACGGAAAUAAAAUGCAAUUUUUGAAGUGAAGGCGGACUUGAAAGUAAGGAUAUAAUAAUACAAAUUUCCUGAAUUUAGCUCUGAAGCGUGC